rnacentral:misc_RNA from 1 species
GAUGAAGAACGUAGCGAAAUGCGAUAAGUAAUGUGAAUUGCAGAAUUCAGUGAAUCAUCGAAUCUUUGAACGCACAUUGCGCCCGUCAGUAUUCUGGCGGGCAUGCCUGUUCGAGCGUCAUUACGCCCCUCAAGUCCCCUGUGGACUUGGUGUUGGGGAUCGGCGAGGCUGGUUUUCCAGCACAGCCGUCCCUUAAAUUAAUUGGCGGUCUCGCCGUGGCCUCCUCUGCGCAGUAGUAAAACACUCGCAACAGGAGCCCGGCGCGGUCCACUGCCGUAAAACCCCCCAACUUUUUAUAGUUGACCUCGAAUCAGGUAGGACUACCCGCUGAACUUAAGCAUAUCAAUAAGCGGAGGA